rnacentral:rRNA from 1 species
CAACCUUUGACAUGUCCAGUAUGGGUCUAGGAGACUAGAUCCUUCAGUUCGGCUGGCUGGAACACAGGUGCUGCAUGGCUGUCGUCAGCUCGUGUCGUGAGAUGUUGGGUUAAGUCCCGCAACGAGCGCAACCCUCAUCUUCAGUUGCUACCAUUUAGUUGGGCACUCUGAAGAAACCGCCGGUGACAAGCCGGAGGAAGGUGGGGAUGACGUCAAGUCCUCAUGGCCCUUACAGGUUGGGCUACACACGUACUACAAUGGUGGUGACAGUGGGUUGCGAAGUCGCGAGACGGAGCCAAUCCCCAAAAACCAUCUCAGUUCAGAUUGCACUCUGCAACUCGAGUGCAUGAAGUUGGAAUCGCUAGUAAUCGCAGAUCAGCACGCUGCGGUGAAUACGUUCCC